ACGUAGGUGGCGAGCGUUGUCCGGAAUUACUGGGUGUAAAGGGUGAGUAGGCGGAAUGGCAAGUCAGAUGUGAAAUAUCGGGGCUUAACCCCGGGGCUGCAUUUGAAACUGCUGUUCUUGAGUGAUGGAGAGGUAGGCGGAAUUUCUAGUGUAGCGGUGAAAUGCAUAGAUAUUACGCGGAACACCAAUGGCGAAGGCAGCCUACUGGGCAUUAACUGACGCUGAUGCACGAAAGCGUGGGGAUCAAACAG
rnacentral:rRNA from 1 species